rnacentral:lncRNA from 1 species
CAAGUUCCUCCGCCGCGACCUCAGGACAGGCCGAAGAGGCGCGCACUACUCACGUGUCUUCCAAGUGCUGCUCCAAGGUCGCCUCCAUCCCACCCACCGACCACUCCGGCUCAGAACCCAGCGGCACGGCACGUCCUUCUCCACCACAGGCCUCAGUCACUUGACGCGAGCGGGGCGUGGACCGUAACGGCGCCUCCAAAGGGACAAAAUUGAUCACGGUGCAACGUCCGCGUUCUUUACUGGAAAACAUCACUGCGCUUCCGUCGCACAGAGCCUGACGAAGGCUUGGGCUCCCCGCGCGGUGACCGUCGAGGUGACCUGCACCUGGCUCCAUGGCGGAACCGGCCGGCACGGAUUAUUCCCCUCUCGGGAGAGGUCUGCAGCCGGGCCUCAGUGCUUCAGUUCGUGGCCUGGCAUUUUGUGAAGAGUGUCUUCAUCUCUGCAUCCCUAGUGCAACAGAGCAUGACAAAAAUUCAACAAAUAUUUAUUGAAGAGUCUUGAUGUCUUUUGGGAAAGGAACUCUAUGGUUACCUUUACUCUAAGUUAAAAACAACAACAACAACAACAAAAACACAAAACCCUGAGGCUCAGAAGAUAAAUAUUUGCUGAAGAUCACUGUGCUUAUUAGAUGGGUGUUACUGAUUCUUACCUCAGAGAAGAGAAUGUCAUGGAGACAAAAUGACCUGCUUAGAGUUCUGCACCCCCCAGCAUGGAGAGCAGAGCGCAAAGAUUUCUUCCGGACUCCCACAUUCCCCUUGGAAUCCAAGAACUGGUCUACUGUCACAACACUUUAGUACCCUCUUGUAAGCCUGUGGACAAAUCCUCUGAUGCCUUGAUACCUCGGUUUUCCCCCACUAUAAAUGGGAAGAUAAAUUCACUAGAAACAGUACUUACCUUGCAGUGUCAUUAUGAGAAUUUCAUGAGACAAUGCAAUAUAAAGCUCCUAGCACAGUUCCAGGCACCAUUGUAAGCACUGAACAAAUGAAAGCUGUUGUCAUUAGGAUCUCAAGAAAUGACAGCUGAGGCAAAUGUGGAUUAGACUGCAUUCAGCAUUCUUAGCUGCAAGCAACAGAAGCUGACGCUGGUUUAAAGAAUAGGAAAGGAAGUUAAUUAAAA